AUUGAACGCUGGCGGCAUGCCUUACACAUGCAAGUCGAACGGCAGCACGGACUUCGGUCUGGUGGCGAGUGGCGAACGGGUGAGUAAUAUAUCGGAACAUACCCUAGAGUGGGGGAUAACGUAGCGAAAGUUACGCUAAUACCGCAUACGAUCUAAGGAUGAAAGCGGGGGAUCGCAAGACCUCGUGCCCAUGGAGUGGCCGAUAGCUGAUUAGCUAGUUGGUGAGGUAAAGGCUCACCAAGGCGACGAUCAGUAGCUGGUUUGAGAGAACGACCAGCCACACUGGAACUGAGACACGGUCCAGACUCCUACGGGAGGCAGCAGUGGGGAAUUUUGGACAAUGGGCGCAAGCCUGAUCCAGCAAUGCCGCGUGAGUGAAGAAGGCCUUCGGGUUGUAAAGCUCUUUUGUCAGGGAAGAAACGGUGAGUCCUAAUACGGCUUGCUAAUGACGGUACCUGAAGAAUAAGCACCGGCUAACUACGUGCCAGCCGCCGCGGUAACAC
rnacentral:rRNA from 1 species